GUGCUCACUUCAGCAGCACACAUACUAAAAUUAGAACAACACAGAGAAGACUAGCAUGGCCCCUAUGCAAGGGUGACAUGCAAAUUUGUGAAGCAGUCAAUAUUUUU